rnacentral:rRNA from 1 species
GAUGAACGCUGGCGGCGUGCCUAAUACAUGCAAGUCGUACGGAAAGGCCCUUCGGGGUACUCGAGUGGCGGACGGCUAAGUAACGCGUGGGAACGUGCCCCAAAGUGAGGGAUAACGCACCGAAAGGUGUGCUAAUACCGCAUAUGUCUUCGGAUUAAAGCUUCGGCGCUUUGGGAGCGGCCCGCGUACGAUUAGAUAGUUGGUGAGGUAAUGGCUCACCAAGUCGACGAUCGUUAGCUGGUCUGAGAGGAUGAUCAGCCAGACUGGGACUGAGACACGGCCCAGACUCCUACGGGAGGCAGCAGUAAGGAAUCUUCCACAAUGGGGGCAACCCUGAUGGAGCAACGCCGCAUGCAGGAUGAAGGUUUUCGGAUCGUAAACUGCUUUUAUAAGUGAAGAAUAUGACGGUAACUUAUGAAUAAGGAUCGGCUAACUACGUGCCAGCCGCCGCGGUAA